rnacentral:misc_RNA from 1 species
UCAACCACCAGCAUCUUGUGUCCCUGUAAACAAAAACAAUUUAAAAUAAAAUAAGAAUUAAAGUAAUUGAUAAAUUAAAAUAAAAUUAUAAAAUAUUAUUAAAUUUUUCAUUGAAAUAACUAAUGUAUUCAGCUUUUGGCAAAGCUGUGCCUGUGCCAUCCCUUCUCAUGACAGUGAAAGAGCAAAGAAGUGGUCAACAAAAUUAUGAUCAUGAGAUCAUAUGUUGUUGUCAUGCAAAUAAUUUUACAGGCAAUUAUUUUGUGCGAGACUUUAACUCUAAAGCUAUUAGGUAGGAGCAGUUGUGUUCAUAUGUCAGUGUAGAUUAUAAGUGAACAUACUCCCAAGUUAAUUACCUUCUCAGAAUCUUAAAAGAUUUUGAUUUUUCAGGAACCUCCAAUGGAAUAUGGCCAAUUUGCUCUACCCACUACUCUGGUGGGUCCCAUUCACUGCAGGGGACUUAGUGGCCACCCACCAUUUAAAUCAUUUUUGUUUUCUUUUUCUUGUUUUAUUAUUAUAUUCCUAUUUUCUUAUCAAGUUGAUAAUAGAAUGACGAUGAAUAGAUUAAAACGAAAAACAUCUUACUUGAA